AUUGAACGCUGGCGGCAGGCUUAACACAUGCAAGUCGCGCGAGCGGCGGACGUGUGAGUAAUGUCUGGGAAACUGCCUGAUGGAGGGGGAUAACUACUGGAAACGGUAGCUAAUACCGCAUACCAUCAGCUGUGCCCAGAUGGGAUUAGCUAGUAGGUGGGGUAAUGGCUCACCUAGGCGACGAUGCCUAGCUGGUCUGAGAGUAUGACCAGCCACACUGGAACUGAGACACGGUCCAGACUCCUACGGGAGGCAGCAGUGGGGAAUAUUGCACAAUGGGCGCAAGCCUGAUGGAGCCAUGCCGCGUGAGUGAAGAAGGCCUUCGGGUGGUAAAGCACGUUCAGCGAGGAGGCGGUACUCGCAGAAGAAGCACCGGCUAACUCCGUGCCAGUAGCCGCGGUAAUUC
rnacentral:rRNA from 1 species